rnacentral:lncRNA from 1 species
AAGAUUCACUCUUCUCUCAAAUAUGUAUUUUGGAAAUUCACACUCAAGAAGGAAAAUCCACUUAGUCGUGAUAUGUCGUGGUCACAUAGUAACUCAAAAAGGUCUUUUCUCAUUGGUUGUAAUGGGGCUAAGGACCAUUCAUGAUGUAGGCAAGAUCCUAGGGGUCCUAAGCUUAAACAUUGAAGAUCAAAGUGUGCAUAUCUAAUCCAAAUCAUCAUCCACAAUUCAAGUUUAUAGAGAAAGAAAGCAACCAAACUUCGGGGAAAAAACUCCAACAAUAACAAUGAUACUACAUGCUCAACUCAAACUGGUGCAACAUCUUUUUCUUUUCUUUUCUU